rnacentral:rRNA from 1 species
CAUGCAAGUCGAACGAAGGCCCGGAGCUUGCUCCGGAUCCCUUAGUGGCGAACGGGUGAGUAACGCGUGGGAAUCUACCUAAGAGUGGGGAAUAACUGUUGGAAACGAUAGCUAAUACCGCAUAAUCCCUAUGGGGCAAAGGCUUCGGCCGCUUUUGGAUGAGCCCGCGUUAGAUUAGGCUGUUGGUGAGGUAACGGCUCACCAAACCUACAAUCUAUAGCUGGUCUGAGAGGAUGAUCAGCCACACUGGGACUGAGACACGGCCCAGACUCCUACGGGAGGCAGCAGUGGGGAAUAUUGGACAAUGGGGGAAACCCUGAUCCAGCAAUGCCGCGUGGGUGAUGAAGGCCCUAGGGUUGUAAAACUCUUUCAGAAGUGAAGAUGAUGACUGUAACUUCAGAAGAAGCUCCGGCUAACUUCGUGCCAGCAGCCGCGGUAAUACGGAGGGAGCUAGCGUUGUUCGGAAUUACUGGGCGUAAAGGGCGUGUAGGCUGUUAGGUAAGUCAGAGGUGAAAUCCCUAAGCUCAACUUAGGAACUGCCUUUGAUACUAUCUUACUAGAGAUCGAGAGAAGUUGGCGGAAUUCCCAGUGUAGAGGUGA